rnacentral:tRNA from 1 species
UGAAUAUAGUUUAUAAAAAUCNCUA